rnacentral:rRNA from 1 species
UAUGGUAAUUGUGUGCCAGCAAGCAGCCGCGGUAAUACGUAUGGUGCAAGCGUUAUCCGGAUUUACUGGGUGUAAAGGGAGCGUAGACGGAGUGGCAAGUCUGAUGUGAAAACCCGGGGCUCAACCCCGGGACUGCAUUGGAAACUGUCAAUCUAGAGUACCGGAGAGGUAAGCGGAAUUCCUAGUGUAGCGGUGAAAUGCGUAGAUAUUAGGAGGAACACCAGUGGCGAAGGCGGCUUACUGGACGGUAACUGACGUUGAGGCUCGAAAGCGUGGGGAGCAAACAGG